rnacentral:rRNA from 1 species
CCUACGGGUGGCAGCAGUAAGGAAUAUUGGUCAAUGGGCGAGAGCCUGAACCAGCAAAGUAGCGUGAAGGAUGACUGCCCUACGGGUUGUAAACUUCUUUUAUAAAGGAAUAAAGUGAGGCACGUGUGCCUUUUUGCCUGUACUUUAUGAAUAAGGAUAGGCUAACUCCGUGCCAGCAGCCGCGGUAAUACGGAGGAUCCGAGCGUUAUCCGGAUUUAUUGGGUUUAAAGGGAGCGUAGAGGGGUUGUUAAGUCAGUUGUGAAAGUUUGCGGCUCAACCGUAAAAUUGCAAUUGAUACUGGCAUGCUUGAGUGCGGAUGCCGUGGGAGGAAUGUGUGGUGUAGCGGUGAAAUGCAUAGAUAUCACGCAGAACACCGAUUGCGAAGGCAGCUCACUAAUCCGCGAUUGACGCUGAGGCACGAAAGCGUGGGUAUCAAACAGGAUUAGAUACCCUAGUAGUC